rnacentral:tRNA from 1 species
UGGGGUGUGGCCAAGUGGUAAGGCAACGGGUUUUGGGCCCGGCAUUCGAAGGUUCGAAUCCUUCCGUCCCAG